rnacentral:lncRNA from 1 species
AUUAUGGAACCAUUUUUAUAAUUUCUAAUUUCUAUAUACACAUCAUUCUUGUUCUUUCAUGUCUGUUAUUUACAUUAAUAAUCUCUACUCCUUUGUAUACAGAGAUUUCUAAAGUUGAGAGUGUGGGAGCAAGAUGAAGAAACAGCGUUAUCAAUUUCCAGGAAGAAAUGACCUCAAAGCUGGAAGAGUUGGAGAUAUGUAGUUGACAUCUGUUUCACUCUGUCUAGACAGCAUCAGAGUAAGACUGAGUCUCGCUCUGUUACCAGGCUGGAGUACAGUGGUGUGAUCUUGGCUUAUUGCAACCUCCGCAUCCUGGGUUCAAGCGACUUUCCUGCCCCAGCCUCCCAAGUAGCUGGGACUACAGGUCAGCUUUCUUUCCAGAGCACCGGUCCCCAACCCUCAGGCCGUGGACCAGUAGCGAUCUGUGUCCUGUUAGGAACUGGGCUGCACAGCAGGCGAGUCCAUGUUACAUCACUGCCCAUAUGCUGGACACUGGAGAUCACAAAAUCUCAUCCCACUUUUGGCAACAAGAAACCUAAAGUUUGUUUGGCAAACAAAGAGUUAUUAUGGUGACUGGGGUGAUUGUUCCUGAUUACUGAGUGGAAAUUGGGCAACUACUUCACAAGGGAGGUAAAGAAGAGUGUGCUUGGAAUAUGGGAUCUCCCUUAGAGAGUUUCUUUGUGCUACUAUGUCCUGUUAUUAGGGUCAUUGGAAAAUGACAACAACCCAAUCCAGCAGGACCAUGCAUGACUCAGAUCCUUUAGGAAUAAACUUUUGCAUCACCCCACUUGGUAGAAACCAUGAUCAGCUCAGAUACCUGCUGAAGGUAAAGAGAAUACAGAAUGGAUAGUGAAAAAAUAUAAUUAUAAAUACCAAUUACAGGAUGUAACCAGUUGCAGAAAUGAAGAAUGUAACUGGCAUGAGUGUUCCUCCUUAUUUUGUUAUGAAUAUGUUUGUGUGUUUGCAUAUAUAUCAAAUAUCUGUGUAUCUCCUAUCUCUUAUUCCCUUAUCAUGUAACAUAGAAUGUAUAUGGACUUUAUAUAAUAGUAUAUAUAAAAAUAUACAUAAUAUUAGUAUUGCUUAUUUUAUAUUGUAG